rnacentral:lncRNA from 1 species
UUUUCCGACGGGCGAUGCCAAUCCUUUCAUAGUACUAAAAUACCAUUAAUUAAUUAUAUUUACAUUUUAAAAACAUUCCUAUACAAUAUUUAUGUUUGUUGACGUCUUGUGCCCUAAUCGUUAUAAUAUGUGAAUCGAUUAAAGAAAUAUGUAUUUAUUGUUUGAUGGCAUGUAAAACUGUAAUACAAUUUACAAUUUGUUUGGGCGUCUAUUUGGGUACAUAUUAAUAACUCAUUAAGAUGAAAUAAGAUUAAUUAAGUCAAAAAAAUACUUAAGCAUGGACGUCCACAGAAGAGGAAAUGGUUUAUAUCCUUUAAUUAGAAAAAAAAAAUAGAAAAGGAAAAAUUGUGCUCUGUUUUCUUUGAUAAAAUGUGCAAGGUAAAAUCGUGGACUUAAAUUUAAAUUAAUCUGUAUUUCUUUAGGCUUAAUAUUUUAAAAGACUAGAUUGCGUUAUUAACAGUAACUACUUUUCAAGUUAAUAAACAAUAAAAAACAAACCUUCAAAUAUUAAUAUUUGUCAUCAUGGAGGCGAAAAGGCAAAGGAUAUUUGAUUUGAUCCAUGACAAAGUGAGUGACAAAGAGAACAAGAAGGUAGUACGGUGCUCCUGGAACAAGAGGAUUACAUACUAGUAAUAAUAGAAUAUAUGCGAACAAAGCCUCUCCAUGGAGUAUCUAUUAAAAACAGAAAUUAUGCAUCAUGCCAAGGGUCUCAAUGUCAUUUAUUAGACUAUGAAGAGAUAUAUGAAGGAUUUGAAGAUGGACUCUUAUGUACGACGACAUUGACAACGGUUUUCAACAUCAACUAAGGCCAAUUGGGUCUAGAGAGGCCAUAAACUGUUAACUUUAUUAAAGUAUACACGUCAUUUUGUCCACCCUCCUCACUGGUCUGUUCCCCCUCGACUAUGCCAUUGACAUCAAUAGAAGAGAGCCUGUGCUACCUCUCACCGGAAUUUCGAUGACCUCAAGGUCUCUGUCGAGUAGCAGUGGGUGGACAUGUCCGAGGACUUCAUCAAUAAGUACUUCACUACCUUUAGGCUCAGGCUGGAGGUCAAGGUAGAAGCCAAAGGAAAUUAUUUUGAAAAAUAAAACGAUAUAUCAAUAAAUAAGUCUGUGAUAAAGCCUCAA